AGUGAACGCUGGCGGCGUGCUUAACACAUGCAAGUCGAACGAGAACGGGUUAUAGCUUGCUAUAAUUGUCAGCUAAGUGGCGCACGGGUGAGUAAUGUAUAGGUAAUAUGCCUCUUACUAAGGGAUAACAAUUGGAAACGAUUGCUAAUACCUUAUACUCCUUAUUAACAGAAGUUAAUAAGGGAAAGAUUUAUUGGUAAGAGAUUAGCCUGUAUUGUAUCAGUUAGUUGGUGGGGUAAUGGCUUACCAAGACUAUGACACAUAACUGGUUUGAGAGGAUGAUCAGUCACACUGGAACUGAGACACGGUCCAGACUCCUACGGGAGGCAGCAGUGGGGAAUAUUGCACAAUGGACGAAGGUCUGAUGCAGCAACGCCGCGUGGAGGAUGACACAUUUCGGUGCGUAAACUCCUUUUAUAUGAGAAGAUAAUGACGGUAUUAUAUGAAUAAGCACCGGCUAACUCCGUGCCAGCAGCCGCGGUAA
rnacentral:rRNA from 1 species